GAAAAAACGAAUACGCUGGAUUUACUAAAAAAUAAUAAUAUGUAGUGCACAAUCUUUGCACCCACUUUUUAAAGUAAGUUUUACAUGGAAUUUAAAGCAGUUUAAGCAUUUGCAAUUUUUAAAGUAAGCUUUACAUGGAAUUUUAAGCAGUUUAGGCUAAAAAAAAAUUAAGCAAUUGCUUAAAAUUCCACGUGAAACUUGCUUAAAAAGAGGGACGCAAAAAUGAUGCACUAUAUUUUUUAGUAAAUCGAGCUAAUUAUUUUUAACACUGUAAAAUGAUUUUAAUUCUCAGCAAAUAUAGCUUAAAAAUACAAGCAGAUUUUACUAAUAAAUUUAAGUAAAAUUGAUUCAUGUCCUUAGCAAAUAUAGCUAAAAUAAAUGUAAAGAUUUUGCUUAUUAAUUUAAGUUUUGCACAUUACUUGAAUUAUGGCUAUAAUCAUUACUAAAUAUACUGAGCUUUUGGUUUACUUAUAAAAAUUGUUAACACUAUAAGCAAUUUUGAGCAAAGUCAAGAGUCACGUGACGCAGAUCGGGAGCCUGCGCAGCAGCCAUUUUAAACGGUGGUGUUACUGUUAAGACCUCUUCAGGAAUUAAGGUAAGUAAAAUUACAUUCUACAUUUAAAUGUAACGUGUCAUAAAGUCCGUUCAUGGAAGGGAACUUCGUUGCCUUUAUAGUUUGUUUCCGACGGACCAUUAAACAGUUGCCACUGACCUGAGAGCUGUGACAGACAGCUGAGCUCUCUGAUAUCGUUCAUGUUGUGCGUUCAUGUCAAAUAUAGGGGGCGCACCAGAUGACACUCCACUUGAGGCUGAAAUAGUUCUGGAAUGGUGUUCAGGUUCUGUGAGAAUUGUCCAGUCUCACCAAAGCAUGCAUUUCCUUGUUUGGCCUAAUAUAUUGUCUUGAUCUUAAGACUUGGGUACACUUUUAAAUUCUUUAAAAAAUACUGCUGCACUUACACAGUGCAAAACUGUCUCAGAAGAUUUUAACAUUAAAAAAUAAACUGAG